GGGAUGAAAUUGCAUAUUGGUUUAGUUCUUUUUAUAAUUUUCUUAAUUCCUUCCUUAUUUAUUUCUUUACGAUUUUGGUUAUAGACUUUGCCAUGUUCUUCAAAAUAAGUAUCUUUUUCGUUGUGAUCGAGUUGAUAUUCGUUAUUAUCUGGGUAGGGUAUUAUGUUAAUGGUGUGAACGGUUUUUUGUUUAAUAGGGAUGUGUGCUAUGAUAAGUAUUUGAUUGGUACUAAUUAAAUAUUUAAACGCAGAUCCUACUAUGUUGAUUAGUCCUCGUUUCUGCCUGUUUGUCUGGUGUAAAGUUAUUCCGCUAAGUUCUCUUCGCAUUUUAUUGUAUAAAAGGUCAAUUUGGGGAAUGUUAGUGUAUUUAGUUAUUUUAUUGUUGAAAUAGUGAGUUAGGUUAUCUAUAUCGGAAAGGUUUACGCGAAGACAAUGAUGUUCAUAUUCUGACGGGACUUGAAUUGUUUUAUCGGAAAAUAAGAGGUAUCCAUGCUUCUUCGAGGAAAUGUCGAAUGUUACCUCGAUAUUGUAUAUUCCUGAAUUCUUCCAGAAGUUGGUGGUUCGGUGCUUGGGGCUUGUAGUUAAGUAUAAGCUGAGUCCUGAGUUCGCUCCAGCUGCUGAGAGCCAAGAUGAAGUCGACGCGACUGAUGAAAGUGUACAAAGUGUUGGGAUCUCCGUUGAAAACCUCGAUUGCGUGUAUUUGUCUUUCUACUUGAACCAUGUUUGAGUCAGACAAUUCUAUUUGUGCUGGUGCUGCUACGGCCAUCGUGGUUUGUUGGUUUGAAUUUUUUUUGUUAGUGUCUUUAUUUAGGUUUGUGAUUUGGAUAGAAUUUGUGUUCUAACUAAUGGUUUGUGUCUUUGCUUAUUGCUUUUCGUAUUCAAAGUAGGCACAUAAAAGCACGGUGCUAUCAUAAAGAAUGAGCCGAUAAAACAAGAGGCACGCUUACAGUUAGCUCUGAAAACAGAAAUUGCUCACAAGCAACGGUGGGCGCGAAAGGGUUAAUUUCCACUUAUUUUCACUGUUAUUAUUAUUGUUCACUUAUUUGUGGUUAAGUUUAUUUGGUUUUCACUU